GGAACAUCUCUAAGCGCCAUCGCAUCUGUGAAGGUGCUGCAUGGUUGUCGUCAGCUCGUGCCGUGAGGUGUCGGCUUAAGUGCCAUAACGAGCGCAACCCUUGUUGUCAGUUACUAACAGGUUCCGCUGAGGACUCUGACAAGACUGCCAUCGUAAGAUGUGAGGAAGGCGGGGAUGACGUCAAAUCAGCACGGCCCUUACGUCCGGGGCUACACACGUGUUACAAUGGGGGGUACAGAGGGCCGCUACCACGCGAGUGGAUGCCAAUCCCAAAAACCUCUCUCAGUUCGGACUGGAGUCUGCAACCCGACUCCACGAAGCUGGAUUCGCUAGUAAUCGCGCAUCAGCCACGGCGCGGUGAAUACGUUCCCGGGCCUUGCACUCACCGCCCGU
rnacentral:rRNA from 1 species